UACGUAGGGCGCAAGCGUUAUCCGGAAUUAUUGGCGUAAAGAGCUCGUAGGCGGUUUGUCGCGUCUGCCGUGAAAGUCCGGGGCUCAACUCCGGAUCUGCGGUGGGUACGGGCAGACUAGAGUGAUGUAGGGGAGACUGGAAUUCCUGGUGUAGCGGUGAAAUGCGCAGAUAUCAGGAGGAACACCGGUGCGAAGGCGGUCUCUGGGCAUGAUCCUGACGCUGAGGAGCGAAAGUGUGGGAGGCGAACAGG
rnacentral:rRNA from 1 species